rnacentral:rRNA from 1 species
UACGGAGGGAGCUAGCGUUCUUCGGAAUUACUGGGCGUAAAGCGCCCGUAGGCGGCUUUGUAAGUCAGAGGUGAAAGCCUGGAGCUCAACUCCAGAACUGCCUUUGAGACUGCAUCGCUUGAAUCCAGGAGAGGUGAGUGGAAUUCCGAGUGUAGAGGUGAAAUUCGUAGAUAUUCGGAAGAACACCAGUGGCGAAGGCGGCUCACUGGACUGGUAUUGACGCUGAGGUGCGAAAGCGUGGGGAGCAAACAGG